GUAGGUGGCAAGCGUUGUCCGGAAUUUAUUGGGGCGUAAAGCGCGCGCAGGCGGUUCUUUAAGUCUGAUGUGAAAGCCCACGGGCUCAACCGUGGAGGGUCAUUGGAAACUGGAGAACUUGAGUACAGAAGAGGAAAGCGGAAUUCCACGUGUAGCGGUGAAAUGCGUAGAGAUGUGGAGGAACACCAGUGGCGAAGGCGGCUUUCUGGUCUGUAACUGACGCUGAGGCGCGAAAGCGUGGGGAGCAAACAGGAUUAGAUACCCUGGUAGUCCACGCCGUAAACGAUGAGUGCUAAGUGUUAGGGGGUUUCCGCCCCUUAGUGCUGCAGCUAACGCACUAAGCACUCCGCCUGGGGAGUACGGCCGCAAAGGCUG
rnacentral:rRNA from 1 species